rnacentral:misc_RNA from 1 species
UCCGAGUUGACCCCGGCAGUCUUCGAUGAGUCCCCGCCAUAACGCGCUGGCAACAUCGAACGAGGGUUGCGCUCGUUGCGGGACUUAACCCAACAUCUCACGACACGAGCUGACGACAGCCAUGCAGCACCUGUGUUCUGGCUCUCUUUCGAGCACUCCCGCAUCUCUGCAGGAUUCCAGACAUGUCAAGGGUAGGUAAGGUUUUUCGCGUUGCAUCGAAUUAAACCACAUCAUCCACCGCUUGUGCGGGUCCCCGUCAAUUCCUUUGAGCUUCAACCUUGCGGCCGUACUCCCCAGGCGGUCAACUUCACGCGUUAGCUACGUUACCAAGCCUAAUAAGGCCCGACAACUAGUUGACAUAGUUUAGGGCGUGGACUAC